UACGGAGGGUGCAAGCGUUGUUCGGAAUUACUGGGCGUAAAGGGCGCGUAGGCGGUCUGUUAAGUUCGGUGUGAAAGCCCCCGGCUCACCUGGGGAACUGCGCCGGAAACCGACAGACUCGAGUACCGGAGAGGAGGGUGGAAUUCCUGGUGUAGCGGUGAAAUGCGUAGAUAUCAGGAGGAACACCGGUGGCGAAGGCGGCCCUCUGGACGGAUACUGACGCUGGAGGCGCGAAAGCGUGGGGAUCAAACAGG
rnacentral:rRNA from 1 species